CUGGUUGACCUCCUGAGAAACAUUAACUUCUGCUGUAGGGACUGGGGCUGUGGUAGCAGUAGCAUCUGGGCAGGGGGGGAUCUCGCAGGUUCUGCGUUCGGGGAUCCCGGCGGCGCCUCGGACGUAGCACCAGGGCGCGGCGUCGCCAUUCGGGUUCCGGCAGCUGUCGUGAUCCUCGGCGACUGCCGGGAGCGCGGCGCCGGUCUCGCUCCGCACCGCCAGCCAGUUGAGGCACGGGGCGCCGCCGGAGGCCACCCGCCGGUUCCCGCGGUAGGACGCGCCGUCUCCGCGGAGGCACUCCUCGGCGCCGCGGGCGGCCGCCAGCAGCAGCGAGCCCAGCAGCACCGCGCCCAGCGCUCGCAGCGGGCCCCCGCGCAGCAUCCUCGGCGCGGAGGGCGAGGAGCCGCCGGCCCGGCCCCGCCGCUCGGCUGCGCUGCGCUCAGCGCCGCGCCGAGACCUGCCCCGGCGCUCCCCUCCCCG
rnacentral:lncRNA from 1 species